CCUACGGGGUGCAGCAGUGGGGAAUAUUGCACAAUGGGGGAAACCCUGAUGCAGCGACGCCGCGUGAGUGAAGAAGUAUUUCGGUAUGUAAAGCUCUAUCAGCAGGGAAGAAAAAAGACGGUACCUGACUAAGAAGCCCCGGCUGACUACGUGCCAGCAGCCGCGGUAAUACGUAGGGGGCAAGCGUUAUCCGGAUUUACUGGGUGUAAAGGGAGCGUAGACGGAGAAGCAAGUCUGAAGUGAAAGGCCGUGGCUUAACCACGGGACUGCUGUGGAAACUGUUUGACUAGAGUGCUGGAGAGGUAAGUGGAAUUCCUAGUGUAGCGGUGAAAUGCGUAGAUAUUAGGAGGAACGCCAGUGGCGAAGGCGGCUUACUGGACAGUAACUGACGUUGAGGCUCGAAAGCGUGGGGAGCGAACAGGAUUAGAUACCCCGGUAGUC
rnacentral:rRNA from 1 species